GACGAACGCUGGCGGCGUGCUUAACACAUGCAAGUCGAACGGAAAGGCCCUGCUUGCAGGGUACUCGAGUGGCGAACGGGUGAGUAACACGUGGGUGAUCUGCCCUGCACUUCGGGAUAAGCCUGGGAAACUGGGUCUAAUACCGGAUAGGAGCCAUUUUUAGUGUGAUGGUUGGAAAGUUUUUUCGGUGUAGGAUGAGCUCGCGGCCUAUCAGCUUGUUGGUGGGGUAAUGGCCUACCAAGGCGGCGACGGGUAGCCGGCCUGGGAGGGUGGACGGCCACAUUGGGACUGAGAUACGGCCCAGACUCCUACGGGAGGCAGCAGUGGGGAAUAUUGCACAAUGGGCGCAAGCCUGAUGCAGCGACGCCGCGUGGGGGAGGACGGCCUUCGGGUUGUAAACUCCUUUCGCUAGGGACGAAGCUUUUUGUGACGGUACCUAGAUAAGAAGCACCGGCUAACUACGUG
rnacentral:rRNA from 1 species